AUGGAUCUUUAUUCAGUUUUUCUGUUCUGUGCAUUAACAGCUGCUGUCUUUGGAAAUGUCAUCAAAUCAAAUAAAACUGAUGUUUUUUAUGAAGAGGGUUCAGAUAUUGUAUUGUCCUGUAGCCAAUCACCUGGAGCUUCGGAUAAUAUCUACUGGUACCGUCAGUAUGAAAGAUCAAAACCUGAAUUUCUUGUAACCACCUACGGUAGUGCAAAAGAACCGGAGGUGUCUGAUGUAGAUCCAAGAAUCUCUGUUAAAGUUGAAAAAAGGCAAAAAAUCCAUGCGGAUCUGGAGAUCUCCUCUGCUGCUGUAUCAGACUCUGCUCUGUACUACUGUGCUCUGAGGCCCACAGUCACAGGAAAUACAUCAGCUCUCUACAAAAACCUGUUACAAUAA